GAGGUAAAAGUAUAGAAAGAGCUUCUAACUCUAACCUAAAGCGGUUAAAUUCCGUUUAUACCUCU
rnacentral:tRNA from 1 species